rnacentral:rRNA from 1 species
GAUGAACGCUGGCUACAGGCUUAACACAUGCAAGUCGAGGGGAAACUACGGGGCAGCUUGCUUCCCCGGGCGUCGACCGGCGCACGGGUGCGUUAGGCGUAGCCAACCUGCCUCUGACUGAGGGAUAACCCGUCGAAAGUCGGCGUAAUACAUCAUGGCCUCGUCUGCGGGGGUCCAACGACGAUUAAAGAUUUCAUCGGGCAGAGUUGGGGAUGCGUCUGAUUAGCUUGUUGGGGGGGUAACGGCCCACCAGGGCCACGAUCAGUAGGAGUUCUGAGAGGAAGGUCCCGCACAUGAGAACUGGGACACCGACCAGACUACUGCGGCAGGCAGCAGUGAGGAAUAUUGGUCAAUGGUCGAGAGUCUGAACCAGCGAGGUAGAGUGCAGGAUGACGGCCCUGUGGGUUUUAAACUGCUUUUAGGCGUGGAUAGAGUGUGGGACGUGUCCUUCAUUGAAGGUACCGGAUGAAUAAGGACCGGCUAAUUCCGUG